UACGAGGGGGGCAAAUGUUGUUCGGAAUCACUGGGCGUAAAGGGAGCGUAGGCGGGUUCUUAAGUUAGGUGUUUAAUCCCGGGGCCCAACCCCGGACCGGCACUUAAAACUGGGAAUCUUGAAUAGUGGAGAGGUCAGUGGAAUUGGGGGUGUAGCGGUGGAAUGCGUAGAGAUCCCCAAGAACACCAGUUGCGAAGGCGGCUGACUGGACACAUAUUGACGCUGAGGCGCGAAAGCGUGGGGAGCAAACAGG
rnacentral:rRNA from 1 species